AGAAGACCUGAGUCUUCCGAGAGGCAGCUUGAUUCCUGGAAAAGACUACUGGGCUGGAAGUCAGGAGGCCUGGGGUACUCUCAGCUCUGCCGCUAACAUGCUGCAUGACCAUGGUAAGUCAUUGCCUUUCUCCGAGCCUCAGUGAGAAACAGCGGGCCUGGCCCCAGAAGACACUGUGGGAGAACUAGAGGUCUUCUGCGUCAGGCCCCCACUAAGAAGGCAGUCUCCUGUGAGGAUACCUAAGAGAUGAGUUAGAAGCAGAGGGCACAUUUCACAAACAGCCCCCAAGGGGUUGUCAGGAACAGACCACAGGAAGAAUCAGAGAGACAGAAAUUGCCCAAGCCUGUGGUCUGAACUGAAGAGGGCAGCCUGGAGGACACCAGUUAGAAGUUGGAAAGAGAGAGAGAGAGCCCUGAAUGAGUUAAGUCAAGAAGAAGGAUCAUGGUAGAGGUAAAUUGCAGGGUAGGCGGGGAAAGGCUGUGGAGAGGGGUUUCUGGGCAGUGGAGCCAGGAGCUAGCCUACUAAAGUCCUGGAGCUCUAGGGGAGAUGCAGAAAGCAGGCUGAGGCCAGGCAUGGUGGCUCACGCCUGUAAUCCCAACAGUUUGGGAGACCAAGGUGGGCAGAUCACUUGAGGCCAGAAGUUCCAGACCAGCCUGGCCAGCGUGGUGAAACCCUGUCUCUACUAAAAAUACAAAAAUGAGCCAGGCGUGGUGUGCAUACCUGUAAUCCCAGCUACUCAGGAGGCUGAGACAUGAGAAUCACUUGAACCUGGGAGAUGGAGAUUGCAGUGAGCAGAGAUCGCGCCAUUGCACUCUAGCCUGGCGACGCAGCAAGACUCUGUCUCAAAAAAAAAAAAAAAAAAAAAAGGCAGGCUGAGACUAGAGCAAGGGAGGUUUAAAAAAAUGGACUAGAACCACACAGACAAGUCUUAAAUGUUCAAUCAUGUCAGGCUGAUAUUUGAAGGAAAACAGGUGCCAACUAUGUGCCCACCUGCAGAGCAUGCCAUCCCUGAGACCCUUCACCGUGGAAGAAAGGGAACUUUUUGUUCUAUAAACACCUGAUAUUUCAUGUUCCACAUUAAGGGCUGACUGGAGAACCUGAGGUGCUGUGCAGAGACCAGAGGAAGGCUUUGAUCCCAAGCCUGCAGCCGGUCCAGCUCAGCACCUGGCUCACAUUAGGCACUCAGUGAAUGUUGAUGUGAACAAAUGAACUGAUUCAAAGAAGUGUCUCCUGAAGUUGCUUCUUUCCAAUCCAGCUAACAAAUGCAGUAUUCUGAAUGGAGGUACCAGAGAUCACGUCAUCUUCAGCUUUCUGCUGCAGAUCCACAUGAAGAAUCACACAUAUCCUUAAUGUUAGAUAGGACUUUGCAUUGAACACUUUAAAAUGUGAAGUCUGGCUUUGAAGAG
rnacentral:lncRNA from 10 species